rnacentral:rRNA from 1 species
GACGAACGCUGGCGGCGUGCUUAACACAUGCAAGUCGAACGGAAAGGCCCUGCUUUUGUGGGGUGCUCGAGUGGCGAACGGGUGAGUAACACGUGAGUAACCUGCCCUUGACUUUGGGAUAACUUCAGGAAACUGGGGCUAAUACCGGAUAGGAUCUCCUGCUGCAUGGUGUGGGUUGGAAAGUUUCGGCGGUUGGGGAUGGACUCGCGGCUUAUCAGCUUGUUGGUGGGGUAGUGGCUUACCAAGGCUUUGACGGAUAGCCGGCCUGGGAGGGUGACCGGCCACAUGGGGACUGAGAUACGGACCAGACUCCUACGGGAGGCAGCAGUGGGGAAUAUUGCACAAUGGGGAGAAGCCUGAUGCAGAAACGCCGCGUGCGGAAUAACGGCCUUCGGGUUGUAAACCGCUUUCGCAUGUGACGAGGCGUGAGUGACGGUAAUGGGUAAAGAAGCACCGGCUAACUACGUG